UCCCUAGUAGCUCAGACGGUAAAACGUCUGUCUGUAAUGCAGGAGACCUGGGUUCAAUCCCUGGGUUGGGAA
rfam:TPA: Bos taurus chromosome 3, whole genome shotgun sequence.